UCCGCCUUGCAGGCUCAGAGGGUGCCCGCUGCGCCGCCGCUGUCCGCGCCUGCCGCCGCCACCUCCGCCACCUCCGCCACCAUGCCCAACUUCGCUGGUACCUGGAAGAUGCGCAGCAGCGAGAAUUUCGACGAGCUGCUUAAGGCGCUGGGUGUGAACGCCAUGCUGAGAAAAGUGGCUGUGGCGGCUGCGUCCAAGCCUCACGUGGAGAUCCGCCAGGACGGGGAUCAGUUCUACAUCAAGACGUCCACCACUGUGCGCACCACGGAGAUCAACUUCAAGGUUGGAGAAGGCUUCGAGGAGGAGACAGUGGACGGACGCAAGUGCAGGGUGAGGCCCCCAGAGCCCGUGCAGCGUCCCCGGGGCCCUGCUCCGUGCCCGUGGCCCACCGCAGCCGGAGCAACCCAUGUCUCUCUUUGCAGCCUGGGGCGCGCCUUGCUUGCAGGAGUUUAGCCACUUGGGAGAAUGAGAACAAGAUCCACUGCACGCAAACUCUUCUAGAAGGGGACGGCCCCAAAACCUACUGGACCCGUGAGCUGGCCAAUGACGAACUUAUCCUGACGUUUGGCGCCGAUGACGUGGUCUGCACGAGAAUUUAUGUUCGCGAGUGAAGGCGGCCGGCUUUCUCCUACUUUCGGGAAGGCAUGCAGGUUCCCCUAAGGAAAAUGUCAUAGUCCGAACUGCCAGGGGACCGCCCCACCCCAUCAAUGUUAGGUGAUCCCAUUUUCCCCAUGACAACGUUGUAGUGUCCCCCUCCCCCACCCCCAGGCCUUCAUGCCUCUUGUAACCCUGGUGCUCUGUAGUUUAGCAUUUGCACGGUUUCGUCGGAUAUUAAACUGGUUGGACACAU